CAAUAGCGUAUAUUAAAGUUGUUGCGGUUAAAAAGCUCGUAGUUGGACUUCUGGCAGGGCGCCGCGUGCCACAGUAGUGUGCACAAGGGCCCGGCCAUCCUUCUGUAAACGUCGGGGAAGUUUAUUCGUCCGCGGCGGGAUCAGUUAAUUUACCUUGAGAAAAUUAGAGUGUUUCAGGCAGGCUAGGCCGGAAUACAUUAGCAUGGAAUAAUGGAAUAGGACUACGGUCUCUUUGUUGGUUUGAGGGACUGCAGUAAUGAUUAAUAGGGAUAGUUGGGGGCAUUAGUACUUAACUGGUCAGAGGUGGAAUUCUCAGAUUUGUUAAAGACUGACUUAUGCGAAAGCAUUUGCCAAGGAUG
rnacentral:rRNA from 1 species